UACGAGGGGGGCAAGCGUUGCUCGGAAUUACUGGGCGUAAAGGGCUCGUAGGUGGCCAACUAAGUCGGACGUGAAAUCCCUCAGCUUAACUGGGGAACUGCGUCCGAUACUGGAUGGCUUGAGUUUGGGAGAGGGAUGCGGAAUUCCAGGUGUAGCGGUGAAAUGCGUAGAUAUCUGGAGGAACACCGGUGGCGAAGGCGGCAUCCUGGACCAACACUGACACUGAGGAGCGAAAGCCAGGGGAGCAAACGGG
rnacentral:rRNA from 1 species